UACGAAGGGGGCGAGCGUUGUUCGGAUUUACUGGGCGUAAAGGGCGCGCAGGCGGUUCGUUGUGUCGGCGGUGAAAGCCCCGGGCUUAACCUGGGAAUGGCCGUUGAAACUGGCGAACUGGAGUGUGGCAGAGGGGGGUGGAAUUCCGCGUGUAGCAGUGAAAUGCGUAGAGAUGCGGAGGAACACCGAUGGCGAAGGCAGCCCCCUGGGCUAACACUGACGCUCAGGCACGAAAGCGUGGGGAGCAAACAGG
rnacentral:rRNA from 1 species